AGCUUUGUGCAGCGGCAGUAUCAUAGCCAAUGAGGUUUAUCCAAGGAGUGAUUAUUGCUAAUUAAAAACAAAAUAUGACCACCUUGAAACAAUAAGACAUGUGGAUGGCCUUCCUUACAGAAUCGAUACUCAAGUUUCAUUGAAGCCAGUGGCCUCCCUCUUCACAUUGCUCAAACCAUUUACUAAACUCUUCUUUUGGAAUUGUCUUCAAAGUGAGAAAGUUUUUUAGGAAA
rnacentral:snRNA from 12 species